rnacentral:lncRNA from 1 species
ACAUUUCGUGUAGUACAGUGUAGACUGUAGCUUGUGUUCUUUUACAGUGAAAUAAAUAGAGAUGGUUUCAAGGCGUUUGUUGCGCGCGCGCCUACGUCAUUAGAUUUUCCCGCUGUGACAAACCGCAUUAAGUAUUUGACCUGACUCAUUUGUUGCCAUUUUGGAUUUCAUAAGUACGAUAUCACCAUACGUAUCGCCCGCUGUCUCGGCUUCCAUUUAAAGAAGCAACAUAGCAAGAAAUGGGGCUCUGCUUUUCGUUUGACUGCGGGGAUUGUGACCUUUGCUGCAAUCCGUGUUGCCUGGCCCUCAGCGCCUGCUGCCUGGUGCCCUGCCUCUGUCCAAACGCUUGCGGACAACAACAACAACAACCGCCGCCCACGGUGAUAGUUCAACAACCACCAGUGAUAGAACAACCCCCGCCGCCACCUGGCUACCCCUAUCCCCCACAAGGCGGUUACCCCGGCUACCCACCGCCUGGAGGAUACCCACCACCUGGAGGCUACCCCCCGCAAGGAGGCUAUCCCCCACAAGGAGGCUACCCGUACCCAGACCAUAUGCACAGAUAACCGAACUCUAGAAAUCUCAAAGUCUUACAACUAUAUUAAGAAUGGGUUGUAACAUAUCAUGUCGUCCGUGUUGCUGCUGCUGCAUCCCCUGCCUCUGCUGCGACUGUUGCGCCGACCCCCCUCGCCCCGCCGUCAUCCAUCAGCACCAUCAUGUUAACGUGGUCCAAGUGCCGCCCGCACGCAACGGACAAUUCCAACCUCCUCCACCGUAUAAUAGAUAACGUCGUAAACCUACAUAAUACAUUAGUAACAGUGGCGGAGCUAGGUAACCAAGGGCCCUGGUGUAAAAAAUGGGGCCGCACUGCUAUAUAAACUGGUUAGGUAUUAUCAACUAAAAAUAACUUAGACCAAUUAUAGGAGGACCUGUAUCGCACUCAUAGUCACGAACAAAAUUGUCUGUCAUUUUCUGAGGAAAACGAGCUUAGAUUUUGUAUAUAUCUUAUACUAAACUAGAAGUUUUUGCCCGUUUUUUACCUUGAGGGCCCCUGGGUAUUGCACCGUCUAACCCCUGAGCUACGUCAUUGAUUAGUAUGGGCAAUUCUAACCUCCACCACCUUAAGUAAUAAUAGAUAACAAUGACGUAAAUCCUAUGUUUAGAAUGGCAAAUUAUUCCUUCAUCAUACACACACACCUUCAUCAUUCAUUAAUACCAUUAAGAAACUAUUCAUUUAAUAAGCUCAAAAA